rnacentral:misc_RNA from 1 species
AAGUCGUAACAAGGUUUCCGUAGGUGAACCUGCGGAAGGAUCAUUAGCGAGGUUUUCCGGGCCUUUUUUGGCCCGAUACCCGUCCAUGUCAUGUGCACCGAUUUGCUUCGGCGGAGGGUUGUGGGGGGAGGAGGACAUGGCGGCCUCAGGGUCACGUGACCUCUCCCGACGACCGCCGUCGGCCCUUUUUAAAACACUUGCGGAUUUUUGAAGUCUGAUUGUCAAAAAACGAAAAUGAAGCAAAACUUUCAACAACGGAUCUCUUGGCUCUG